AGACCCGAAACCCGGUGAUCUAGCCAUGGGCAGGUUGAAGGUUGGGUAACACUAACUGGAGGACCGAACCGACUAAUGUUGAAAAAUUAGCGGAUGACCUGUGGCUGGGGGUGAAAGGCCAAUCAAACCGGGAGAUAGCUGGUUCUCCCCGAAAGCUAUUUAGGUAGCGCCUCGUGAAUUCAUCUCCGGGGGUAGAGCACUGUUUCGGCUAGGGGGCCAUCCCGGCUUACCAACCCGAUGCAAACUGCGAAUACCGGAGAAUGUUAUCACGGGAGACACACGGCGGGUGCUAACGUCCGUCGUGAAGAGGGAAACAACCCAGACCGCCAGCUAAGGUCCCAAAGUCAUGGUUAAGUGGGAAACGAUGUGGGAAGGCCCAGACAGCCAGGAUGUUGGCUUAGAAGCAGCCAUCAUUUAAAGAAAGCGUAAUAGCUCACUGGUCGAGUCGGCCUGCGCGGAAGAUGUAACGGGGCUAAACCAUGCACCGAAGCUGCGGCAGCGAACGUAUCACCCAAGACAACUUUACGGAGUUGACGAUUGACGGAGCGAAGCGACGUCAAAGCGU
rnacentral:rRNA from 2 species